AGUGGGUCAGAAGUGAAGGUCAGUAUGGGUCGGCUGGAAGAUUGACGACCUUUGGAGGACUUGGAGGACAUGCACUUCUCACGGCAGUUGUGGAUGUAUAGGUUGAGUAGCUCCUUCUGCUUCAGCCACUGUUUCUGGAGAACAGCCGAAAUCUGUGGAGAACAGACAAUGUGAAAGUUUGUAUGGGAGAGAAAAAGCAAACUCUGAUCUAUCGGAUCUUAGAGAAGUAGCGCUAUGUGUUGUCAACAAGAGCAGUAGCUGCAGCCUCAGUGCCAUUACCUUUGCUUUUCUUUAGAACUAUCUUUUCUUCCAACCUUUGAGGGGAUGAGCGAGUUAUUUUAUACACACAGUAUAGUUCUAGGCACGCCUAAAGUCCUCGGGCAAUACCCUGAAGAUUCACCAGUCAAGGAGGUUGUCAAGAAGGUUUCUUUGAUCGAACGGACAACCAAGGAAUAGUGGAAAGAAUUUAUAAAACUGGAUUGAAGCAAAUGGCUCUCAAAGAAAUCAAUUGAAAUCUUUAACACUAUAGUCUUGUGAUCAAGAAACUAUUUAUAAGAAGCAAGGACACGAGAGAAAAGAUCCAUUUCUUGUGUUUCUUGCAUGAUCACUGUAUCUACAAACUUCCACUUCUCCCUCCAACUCAUAACACAUUUUCAGGGUGGCCAUUGUAGCUGAUUGAGCAACGCCAUAAUUACCAUCGGAUUAUAAAAAAAUAGUUUCUUGAUUCUGAAACUGUUUUUUUCUCUUUCUUAGUCUUGUGGUCAAGAGUCAGAGUUUAUUUAUUUGGUUGAUUAUGCGUUUAACAUGUUUUUAUGCAGUGAAUCGGCGACGAUGGCCCUGAAUCCAGCCGGCCUCCAAAUGUGUUACGAGUUGGAGGAGGGCCUGGAACGAUCUUUCCAUUUGAAGGAGUUCCAGAUCUCACAGCUUGCUUGGUGUCAAUGCUUGGAGGAGAUCCAUUUUCGAAUGCACUAACGUGUUUUGGUCCUGGGUGGAUAGGCGAGCUCCUCCGUUUGAUCACUGCUGGGAGCAUAGGCGAGCUACUUUCUUUAUUCACUGCUGGGUGUAUAGGCGAGCUCUUUCCUUUGAUCACUGUUGUCACUACCGGGAUCUCAAGAGCCUGCGAGAGCUGGACUGUGAAAUCCUGCAAGAGUUUACGAUGAUGCCGUGCUCCUGCUUCAUCAGCAGAAGAAACGAGAGAAGCAGCAGAAGCUCCAACGUGUUCCUGGUGAAUUUCUCCAGCCAGGAGCAGCAGCAGCAGCAGCAGCUGGAAGAUCAGACGAGUUUCCAUGAUCCGACACUUCCGAGCGCUUUUGCUUUGAUCUCCUCCAACUCUGGACAACGUUUGUUCUUCCUGUUCAAAUGGAAUCGCUUGCUCUCUCCAACUUUUGCUGGACUUCCAGUUCCAAUGGGAUCGCAGCUUUUGCUCUUCCCGUUCCAAUGGGAUUGCUUCUUCUCACUUGGAGAUACCCCAGCUUCAUUAAUGACUUUUAUACACGGCUCCAUCCGUCCCGGAAAAACUUUGAAAAAUCAUCCGUCAAAAACACGCUGUUUCGUUUGAACGAGAAUCUCGUUCCCUCCCGGUGAAACAAAAACAUUCCUGAACUUUGAAUCCUCGCCUACGAACGAAAGUAACAAGGCGACGUAUGGAAGUUGUAGAGCAAAACGGAGAAAGUCUCCAGCUCGUGUAAGUCAAGUCCAUCUCUCGCUACUUCUUUCCCCGAUGCUGCCCAAACGAAACUCGUCCACAGUAGCGUGUCCGCCUCGUAUGGCAUGUGUAGAAUGUGAUCCAUGGCGAGAGAUGGCGGAUCGCUACUCAUACCAUUUGGCUCGUAUGGCAUGUGUAGUCGUGGAUGUGGCCACACUGCCCCAUGGCGUGGACCAUGCAGCUGUAGUGCUCCCGUGGCGGUCCGACCAAAGUCAAAUUUCGUUGACCUCCACCUGGCGCUGCCGGGGCUCCCCGUUGACUUAUGGCGACCAGGGUGGCGGUCAUCGUGAUGCAGUCGGGUGGCACUGUGAGGAGCAUCUCGUGAAACAGGGAGAGCGCCUCAUGGGACAUUGGGUGGUUAGUAAGCGCCAAGCAUUGCGUUCCUCCAUGUUGUCAAACAGAUUCUUUGCCUGCUAGCACUGUGAAUAUGCAGAGAGCAUCGUGUUCCAGGACGUGAGGUCCUUCUGCGGCAUUGUAUGAAACAAGAAUUGAGCGUUUUCAAGAUGCCCAAUUUUGGGCAUAUGCCGCGAGCAUUCACAACGUUGUAGCAGUUAAAUAGGGACCGACUCUCCAUUCAUGGACACAAGCAAAGAAACCAGAGAAAUCAAGAGAGAUCAACAUCUGAACCACCACAACACACUACAGAACACCAUCCAGCGCCCAUCACUUCUCUCCUGCCAUCCUCUCUCUCCAACCAAGAACUCAACCGUCGGUUAAGGUUCGACUAAACUACCUUACGCUCCUUUAUUCUGAGAAACAGCCAUCAACGUGGCCCUUUCUAGGCAUAUGUCGUUAGAAUGGUGUUCCACGUCAGUAGGCUCCCGGGGCAGUGUCGAAGAAGUCCAGCCGCACUCUGGCCAUUUGUUGACAUUCAUUCCAACCCUAAAGUUUCUUGGAGAAUGGCGGCGCCGAAUCCAAAGACGGCGCCGGUGCUAUCGUGUGUUUGAUCGCAUUGUUUCUUCCGAGAUUUUUGGACAACGAGAAUGUGAACGAGGGGAUUCUCCACGUGGUUUCAUUCCGUUUGGCGACAUCAAGGACGUGACAAUGCCCCUGAAUCAAGGGACGAUGGGGCGGCGGCCAUGGACAACAUGCACAACUCGGAGCUCUUUCGCUAAGUGUUGACGGUGAAUUACCCGCAGCCCAUGAAGAUCAAGGGAAGAACAGGGCUGGGCAUCUCAACCAAGUGAGUUUUCUCUUCCAUUUCCCUUCUUCCUCGUUUUUUUUUGCGUUAGAGUAUAUGGAUUUGCUGAAGAUUUCUUUUCUUUUUCUUCUUGUUCUUCGUUCUUCAUUCCUAUAGGAAGUCAAUUGUUUUCUCUUUUCUACUUCUCUUGCCUUUGGUUCACUAGAUACUUUGUUUGUCAGUUCUUUCUCUAAACUAUUACUUUUCUUCUUGUCUCUUUGAUUUUUCUUUGCCAUUUGUUUCACGACAGCUUCGUCUUACCUUGUUGAUUUGGAAUUCUAUCUUUGCAGUUUUGGCCGAUGCCGAGCGACAGCAGCGGGAGCUAGAGAUGAAGAAGCUCAAGGCCGAGCAGGAUGCCACGGUCAAGGCGGUGCAAGAGGCCGAGAGGAAGAAGCUCUUGGAUGCCCUCGAGGGAGAAGUGGAAGAACCGGAAGAGCCUGAAACUACCAUGCCUGUAGAUCCUGCAAUCUUGCAAGAAACGCAAGAAGUGGAGGUCCUUUGGUAUGCUUUCUUUUCUCUCGUGUCCUUGGUCUUUCCCUUACAGAGCAAAAUAGUGUGCAGAAAUCUGGAACUGGAGGUAGUUUGAUCUGUAAGGAAAUCUUUCUAGUUAUACAGUGUUGAUGAAAAAAAGGGAGCAUUUUUUAUGAGUGGGUCAGAAGUGAAGGUCGGUAAAAGAAUGAGUUCCUUCUGAUAAAAUCAGCUGCCGAUGGUCCUAGAGGAUGUAUGGGCCGGCUAAAAGCUAUGUCACUAAGAGGGCCCAGAAUGAUGACCUUUGGAGGACUUGGAGGACAACGGCGGCUGUGAAUGUAUAGGUUGGCUGGCUCCGUAGUAUUUCUCGCUUCUGCAAGAGCUUACGGUGGUGCGAGCUUGCUCCUUGGCAAGAAGAAUCAGAACGAGCAGUGGCAGCUCCUCUUUGAUCUGCAGUAAAGAGCAGCAAGUGGGGAAAGGCCAUGGGUUCAAAAGAACUCAUACAUUCGCUUAAGGAUAAAUGCUUGAAAACUUAACUUUGGCUACUUUUGCACUUUCUUAUGGAUAAAGUUACUGCAGCCAAUGCUCUCGCACUGACUUAAGAACAAGCGAAAUCUGUGGAGAACAAACAAAGUGAAAGUUUGUAUGGACAAGAAGAAGCACUGAUCUAUCGGAUCUUAGAGAAGCAGUGUUGUGUGUUAAGAGCAGGAACAGCAGCUUCAGUCGAUCAAGAUGCUUUGCUUUAGAACUAUCUCUACUUCCACCUUUGCCGUGAUGAGUUCUGGGCGUGUGGAAAGUCCUUGGUCAAGGAGGUUGUCAAGGAGGUUUCUUUGAUCGAACAGGCAACCAAGGAAUUCCAAAGCAGGUCCACGGAUUCUUUAAGAAAAAGCAAGAUGGAAACAAGGAACUAGAGAAGAAAAAUAUAUGAGCAGGAUAGGUUUUCAUGAAGAUCAAGGGAGGAGAACAGGGCUGGGCAUCUCAACCAAGUGAGUUUUCUUCCAUUUCCUUUCUUCCUUGUUUUUUUGUCAUUAGAUUAAGGUACACAUUAUUUCCUUUAGGUGGAUUUAGAUUUCUUUUCUUUUUCUUCACAAGUUCCUCAUUCCUAUAAGAAGUCAGUUGUUUUAUCUUUUCUACUUCUCUUGCCUUUGGUUCACUAGAUACUUUGUUUGUCAGUACUUUCUCUCAACUAUUAUUUUUCUUCUUGUCUCUUUGAUUUUGCUUUGCUAUUUGUUUCGUCGUCUUACUUUGUUGGAAUUCUAUCUUUGCAGUUUGGGCGGAUGCCGAAACGUGGUUUGAGCGUCAACAGCAGGGGCUAGAGAUGAAGAAGCUCAAGGCCGAGCAGGAUGCGACAGUCAAGGCAGCUCAAGAGGCUGAGAGAAAGAAGCUCUUGGAUGCCCUCGAGGGAGAAGUGGAAGAACCAGAAGAGCCAGAAGUCACAAUGCCUUUUGACCCUGCGAUCAUGCAAGGGACGCAAGAAGCAGAGGUCCCUUGGUAUGCAUUCUUUUUAUCUUGUGUCCUUGCUUUCGGUGUCUGAUCUUUCCCUUACAGAGCAGAACAGUGUACUUCUCUUCUGGAUUAUCUGGAACUGCAGGUAGUUUGAUCUGUAAGGAAACCUUCGGUAUUUGAUGAAUGUUGUCAGGUCUUCCACGUUCCUAUGAAAAAAAAAGGAGCAUUGUAUGAGUGGGUCAGAAGUGAAGGUCAGUAUGGGUCGGCUGGGACCUUUGGAGGACUUGGAGGACAUGUACUUCUCACGGCAGUUGUGGAUGUAUAGGUUGAGUAGCUCCUUCUGCUUCAGCCACUGUUUCUGGAGAACAGCCGAAAUCUGUGGAGAACAAACAAUGUGAAAGUUUGUAUGGAAGAGAAAAAGCAAACUCUGAUCUAUCGGAUCUUAG
rnacentral:lncRNA from 1 species